UACGUAGGGACCAAGCGUUGUUCGGAAUUACUGGGCGUAAAGGGCUCGUAGGCGGCCAACUAAGUCGGAUGUGAAAUCCCCAGGCUUAACCUGGGAACUGCAUCCGAUACUGGAUGGCUUGAAUCCGGGAGAGGGAUGCGGAAUUCCAGGUGUAGCGGUGAAAUGCGUAGAUAUCUGGAGGAACACCGGUGGCGAAGGCGGCAUCCUGGACCGGCAUUGACGCUGAGGAGCGAAAGCCAGGGGAGCAAACGGG
rnacentral:rRNA from 1 species